UAUAGGAGGAGAGCGCAGUUGCGUUUUGUUUUUUAGAAGCGUGAAGCUAGUUGCUCUGUUUUUUUAAGGUAGAAAGUGGCACUCAUUUUUGUUUUUGCCUAGGUAUUUCUUCGUAUAGCAGAGACAUGAAACAGAUCAAAUUGUCUGCCGGCAAGCGGUUUGCCAAGCCGGUCUUGUUUGGGACGAUCCUCAUUGGGUUGUCCAUCGCCUUUGUUAACAGACACAAGUUUUUCCCUGAAGUGGAAGAGAUUCGUGCCAGAGAACAGGCCAAAUACGAUGAAAAGCUGGCAGAGGUUCUGGAGCGUCGGCAGAAGCAAAUGGGAGAGCUGGCAGAGAAGAGACAGGCUUCUCGAUGAGCUCAGGGGAUGUCCUGUCUGUAGGAAAGGCUGAGCUUCUCACUGCUGUACAGACAACCUGGCAGCCAGCUCCUCAAUUCCUGUGGAGUUGCUCAAUCUCUCAACAAUAUUUUGUGCAAACCUGGCAAGUGAAGAUUUUCUGUGAAUUCCCAGAUACUUUUGUGACGAGAAUGAUGUAUAGGAAGGAGUAUAUCACUAAACUGACUCCUAAGAGUUCAAAGAUAAGAAAAUAUUUUUCCUUGUAAUACGCCAUUACAAGGUUGAGUAGUGCACUAAUGUAAAAUGAAAGCCUCAAGGUCAGGAACAACAUCUAUGAAAAGCUUCAAGUGUUUUCUUUUUUCACUUCUCGGUAAAUGGCUUUAAAAUUUUUAGUUUUACAUUGUAAGAUGUAACAAAAAAAUAUAUUUCCUUAACUUUUCAGCAAGAAUAAUUAGUGUGUGGCCAAAAUGUUUUUAUUACCUAUAUGUAUUUACACAAACUCCUUUGCAAAAUAUAUACAAUUUGUUCAUGUCUAAAUGUGUGAUUUAUACUCUCAUUUGGGUGUGCUACCAUUUGUUGGAUACAUGCUUAGCCUCACUGUGCACAGAUGUGCCUCCUAGUGUUUUCCUUUAGAUAAAGCAUACAGAGGCCUCAAAGACACUAACUGAUCUUUUCUGGUAAACAUGAGGAUGUUACAGGAGCUAGAAGAAGUUAUAAUCACAUUUUCCACACACUGUGACAGGAAGUCUGCGUGAAGGCAUUUGAAGUGUUUUGGUUUGAAAAGCAUGUUCUUUUUGAUUUAAGCUUAGGGUACAAUAUGUGAUCAGCUUGUACUUUAUUUGAAUCGGUAGAAUCAUAUGCUUUUAAUGUGACUUUUAUACACUUGAUGAAGUGAAUUGCUCUAUGAAAUGUAACUAAACUUUCCAGAGGACUGAGUGCCAAGCAUGAAAAAUAAAUUCAAUGCUGUUUAAAAUCA